UUCCACAAGAGUGUUUCGCGUUUAUUGUUCAAAUACAUAUAUAAUAGUUAUGAUACACAUCUUUGAUCCCAGAAUAAGAGAAACAUUUUCCCCGAAGAAGGACUUAAGUCAACCUUAUAUAAUUGUGUCCUUUUAUUCAUUGGUUAAAAUUGCAAACGUGUACGAUGUAUUUUAAAAAUUUAAUUAGCUCGUAAUGAAAACUAUACAAUAUUGAUUUUAGCACUUCUUCCCUGGGACCAACGGUAUAUUAUUAAAUAUUAAUUGUUUGACGUUAUUUAAUUUGCAAUUUAUACACGUAGGUCCGAAUGUUUUUAAUUCUAACAAAAUACAUUAUUUUCGUUAUUAUUACUGCCCAUUACAAAUAUUUUUUUUUAAUGACAAGACAACCCAUAGUUUAUAGAUUACAGAAAACUUAUAUG